UGAAACGGGAACAUUUAUCCAAUGCCUGUACUCUCAUUGUAUCUUGUAAGUAACUAACUUGCUUUUGACUUUAUGUGCUCCUAGGUCAAAGAGACAAAGAGACUUGCCUUGUGUCAGAUGAGACUUUGGACUUAAGACUUCUGGGUUAGGCCGGGCACAGUGCUCACACCUGUAAUCCCAGCACUUUGGGAGGUCAAAGCAGAUGGAUCAAGAGGUCAAGGGCUGAUAACAGCAGCUCUGGGCUGACAGCAGGUGAAAGAAAAGGGGCCUCCACACUACAAUCACCAGGAGCCUGAACUCUGGCAGCGACCUGAAGGGCCCUCACAUAGAUUCUUCUCCAGUGCCUCCAGAAAAAAACGCAACUCAACCUCAUGGAACACUGGGCAGACAACCCAGUCACACCCUGCCUAGACUUCUGCCCUACAAACUGGAAGCUGAUAAAUUUGUUUCGUUUUAAACUAUGUUUGUGGUUAUCUAUUACACAGCAAUAUGGGAUUACUCCAAACAGGCUGUCUGUAUGAAUUCAGGUCCCUGAUCAAAUCUGGUUGACUGUAAAUUCGAAAAAGGGCAAUCUGAGUGCCUUCCCUUACGUAAACAUGUCCUAACUCCUCCCCUGUGUCUGUGGCAGGCCCCUGCUCUGCUGGGUUUGGGUGCUGUUAUUCCAGAAAACAUGUGCAGAAUGUUUCAGCUGCCCUGUGUCCUGGGACACACUGUCACAAACCAUUUCACCCAAGGCAUUGCUCCCUCUGGUUCAGCUCUUGGGAGUGUCAACAUGUUAGGGGUGUUAUCAAGAUUAACAAAACAAACACAGCAGCUCUUACAAUGGACAAUGGUGAAUGAGGUCCGUUAUCUGCCUUAGUCCCGCCCACCCCCACAUUCCCAGCACCACAUUCUCAACUCCGGAGUCCAGCAAGCUGGUAUGCAUGGCAGAUCUUAAAACCCAGGGAUGGAGUUUAUCAUCUCAAAUCAGACUAUGGAAAUGACAUUAGACAAAAAGCAAAUUUGAGCGAUUUUCUUAUUCAAGUUCGAAAUGGGUCAUAAAGCAGUGGAGACAACUCGCAACAUCAAGAAUGCAUUUGGCCCAGGGACUGCUAACAAACUUACAGUGCAGUGGUGGUUCAAGAAGUUUUACAAAGGAGACAAGAACCUUGAAGAUGAGGAGCACAGUGGCUAGCCAUCAGAAGUUGACAACGACCAGUUGAAAGCAAUCAUCAAAGCUGAUCCUCUUACAACUACAGGAGAAGUUGCCAACGAGCUCAACAUCAACCAUUCUGUGGUCAUUCAGCAUUUGAAGCAAAUUAGAAAGGUAAAAAAGCAUAAUAAGUGGGUGCCUCAUGAGCUGAGUGAAAAUCAAAAAAAUUGUCAUUUUGAAGUGUCAUCUUCUCCUAUCCUACACAACAACAACAAACCAUUUCUCAAUCGGAUUGUGAUGUGUGAUGAAAAGUAGAUUUUAUACAACAACCAGUGACAACCAGCUCAUUGGCCAGACUUAGAAGAAGCUCCAAAGCACUUCCCAAAGCCAAAUGUGAGCCACAAAAAGGUUACGGUCACUGUUUGGUGGUCUGCUGCUGGUCUGAUGCACUACAGCUUUCUGAAUCCCAGCAAAACCAUUAUACAUGAGAAGUAUACUCAGCAAAUCAAUGAGAUGCCGGGAAAACUGCAACGCCAGCAGCUGGCAUUGGUCAAUAGAAAGGGCCCAAUUCUUCUCCAUGACAACGCCCAACUGCACAUCACACAAUGCUUCAAAAGUUGAAUGACUUGGACUACAGAGUUUUGCCUCAUCUGCCAUUGCCACUUGACCUCUCACCAACUGACUACCACUUCUUCAAGCAUCUCGACAACUUUUUUGCAGGGAAAACACUUCCACAACCAGCGGGAUGCAGAAAAUGGUUCCCAAAAGUUUGUCAAAUCCCAAAGCAUGGAUUUUUAUGCUACAGGAAUAAAUAAACUUAUUUCUCAUUGACCAAACUGUGUUGAUUGUAAUUGCUACUAUUUUGAUUAAUAAAAAUGUGUUUGAGCCUA